ensembl:snoRNA
CGGACGCUGAGCCGAAUAAAAAAUAUUUUUAAGAAAAGGCACAAAAUUCCUUUGUUUAUAACACACCCAAAAAGAAUCUAGGGUCAUAGGGAUGAGGGGUACAAAACUUGUGGCCUCCCUAUGAACAAAUUUCCUAUAUGU